CUGGGUCAAGGGCUCUGUUUAUCCAUAGAACAGUUCAGCCAUGGCAUAGGCAGUGCAAGCUACCCCCAUCAAUAUGCCUCACUUCUGAGAUGGACCACACCCUCCCAGGAGAAAUGGGUGUGACAUUCCAUUUAAAGAGUUUAC
rnacentral:sRNA from 1 species